AGUGAACGCUGGCGGCGUGCCUAAUACAUGCAAGUCGAACGGCGUGUCGCACGGGUGUGUAAUAUAUAUCUAAUCUGCCCCUUUCUGGGGGACAACCGUUAGAAAUGACUGCUUAUACUCCAUAGCACGGGUUGAGACUAUAUCGGAUCAGCGAGUCGGUGUGGUAACGGCCUACCGAGGCGCUGACGCGUAACUGGUCUGAGAGGAUGAUCAGGCACAUUGGAAGGGAGACAGGGUUAGAACUCCUACGGGAAGGAGCAGAAGGGAGUAAGGCGAAAGGGGGGAAACGCUGACGCGGCAACGGCGCGUGGAGGAUGACACUUUUCGAAGAGUAAACGCCUUUUGUUAGGGAAGCGGUACCUAACGAAUAAGCAACGGCUAACUACGUGCCAGCAGCCGCGGUAAUAC
rnacentral:rRNA from 1 species